rnacentral:rRNA from 1 species
ACGCUCGACACCUACGGAGGGGCAGCAGGUUGGGAAUAUUGGACAAUGGAGGAAACUCUGAUCCAGUGACGCCGCGUGAAGGAAGAAGGUCUUCGGAUUGUAAACUUAUUUUGUCAGGGAAGAAAAAAUGACUGUACCUGAAGAAAAAGCACCGGCUAACUACGUGCAAGCAGCCGCGGUAAUCUGAGCGGGCUGGCAAGGC